AUUGAACGCUGGCAGCACGCUUUACACAUGCAAGUCGAACGGCAACAGGCCGCAAGGUGCUGACGAGCGGCGAACGGGUGAGUAAUGCAUCGGAACGUGCCCAGUCGUGGGGGAUAACGCAGCGAAAGCUGCGCUAAUACCGCAUACGAUCUAUGGAUGAAAGCGGGGGAACGUAAGGCCUCGCGCGAUUGGAGCGGCCGAUGUCAGAUUAGGUAGUUGGUGGGGUAAAGGCUCACCAAGCCGACGAUCUGUAGCUGGUCUGAGAGGACGACCAGCCACACUGGGACUGAGACACGGCCCAGACUCCUACGGGAGGCAGCAGUGGGGAAUUUUGGACAAUGGGGGCAACCCUGAUCCAGCAAUGCCGCGUGCAGGAAGAAGGCCUUCGGGUUGUAAACUGCUUUUGUACGGAACGAAACGGCUCUGGUUAAUACCUGGGGCUAAUGACGGUACCGUAAGAAUAAGCACCGGCUAACUACGUGCCAGCCGCCGCAGUAA
rnacentral:rRNA from 1 species